GUUACAUUUAUCUGUUUUAGGGUUUGAUCGCUGCCUUCACCUCCGUGGCAACUCGCACAGCCUUAAUUGAAGAAUCAAGACGCCUGCCUAGCUGUUGUUAUGAGGGCUCCUCCUCGGUGGAGCCUGCUGUCUUGUCUGGUUUUGAAUUGUUUUAUCUUGUCUUAUCUUGUUCUAUUAAGUAGGCCUACCAUUUCCUGGUUCGCCUGGUUUUAUUUUAUUUUAUCUCUGGAUUGUUGCGUGUGCCCACGCUUCUGUGAUCGGGCUGAAGCAAUCCUUUGCCCGAGUGUCGUGCCGGGAAUUUUAAAUUGCCUCCGUUGCUGGUCUUAGCCUGUGGGGAGCCAGACCAGCUUGCGAUUGAGGCUUGGACAACUACUACCAGUACGAGUGGACCCGUGGGGCAUAAGCCUUCCAGUGUGUGGACGAAGGACGUGCCAGUGGCCCUGGGACCUCAGGUGGUGGGUCGUUUUCACAUUUUCUUUUGUACAGCACCUGGUGGGCUGCAGUGAUUUUCGUUUUGUGUGAUUUUCUUUUGGGUCCACGGCUGCUGGUAAGUCCAAGUUCCAUUAUUAUUUUAUUGUACUUUUAGGACACUGUCAACAAAGACGCUACAUUUUGUUCUUCUAAUAUUUUAUCCUUUAUUUCUUUUACUAUAAAUAAAACUGUUUUAAUAUUGGA